AAUUUAUUCAUUCAACAAAUAUUUCUAAGUGUCCAUGGUGACCCAGACAUCAUGGGAACCUUGGGGUACCAGAGUUGAGUAGAACACGACUCCCAUCCUUAGGGAUUCACCAUCCAGUAGAGGAGAAAGACGUCUAGACAGAAGACAAAAGGGAAGGAAAAGCUCGAUGCUGUGCCUUCAGCUCAGCUUCUCCAUUUUUUAGAGAAGGGUUAAUGGGGGAAGCAGAGAGAGAGAUGAGAGAUCAAACUUUCCAGGGCCUUUGUCUCCAGAGCAGAGGGUCUCAAACCUUAGUGAGCAAAAACUGAUCCAGAAGACUUGUUGGAGGCGUAGCUUCCAGUUCAGCAAGCCUAUUUCAGCAGAUUGGAGGUGGGCCCAGGGCUCUGCAUUUUCCCAGCUCUCUGGGGGAUCCAGGUGCAGGUAGUCCGUGAUCACAAGGGGAUGCUACUCUUCCAAAGCGGGCCUGGAAAACCAGAACUGGCAACUUUCUGGCCCCAGAGCUGCCAGCCAUGGGGCAGGUCCACCAGAGACUGAUGGAGGAACGAGGAAGAAGAAAGGGAAAGGAACAGGGAACCUCAGAGAGGAUUAGAGUGGGAAAUGGAAAAAGAGGAAAUCUAAGGUGUGCAAAAGAGAAAAGGGAUGCCUCUCUAAGAAGGCCAGCGAGUAUUAGCGGAGGUGCUAGGGCCGCUCAGGCUGGCUGACGUCCAUGUGUUAGCCAUGAUUUUUGGUCUUUCAAACUUGAGGACCUGCCUAAGCAAGCACAGAGCAAAAAACAGAAAGUUGACUUUGGUAGAUGCUUGGGCAUCAAUAUCACGUGGAACCAGCCUUUUCUUUGAUACCUUUUGCGUUUCUUGCAGAUCCCGUGUCUGCAGCACGUGCUGAUCGCCAAGGGUGAGGCUGGAUGAAGCCAGAGGCUAUGGAAAGGAGACUGUUUCAGAGGACUUGACACCGUCUUCAGUAAUUUCUCUGGUUCUUGGCAGCUCCAUUUGGCUGUGUCCCUACCCUGCACAACCCUCCCAUGCAGUCUACUCCAGGGCAGCGUCCAGCUGGUGACCUGAGAGGGCAGCGGUGCGCCAGUCUCCAUGAAGGUUGAGCUCGGAUGGCCAACAGCAAUUUUCACCCUGUGGUCUACAGCUCUUCAUCCUGACUGCAUGGAGAUUGGUCUCUCUCCUCAGCUGGAUUGAGGCCACCAUCUGAGCCCCCGGGGUACGUUUUGUCUGACCCUGGCACCAUUCGAUUCUUCUACAGCAUCAGGCAUUCACCUGGCUCCUAGGGCUUUUGUGCUGUAGGCCUGUAUUUCCAGCUACUUUUGGAAAAAAUCUCUCUGGAGUCCCAGUGAGCUGGUCACAUCAGCCUGUCCAGAGCAGAGCAAAGUGCAACUGCAGCCAGCUCAUGCCUUCAAGAGAAGGACUGAAGAUCAUGUGUGCCUGAACCAAGAAUAUAGGAUCGACUCAGACAAGGUACCAGUUCUACCUGCACCACGGUCACUUGAGGAUCUUAUCACCACCACACUCACAAGACUACCGGUAACACUUACGUAUUUUUGUUUUUGGUGGCUCCUCUGCUGUGAUGAUAGUCUAGGCCUGUUUCAUUCAUCUCUGUGAAAUCAAUCAGGUGGCUGGAGCUUGUGAAUUACAGCCCACAUUCCCGAUGGAGGAAUUGAGGCUCAUUGCUAUAAUUCGGACGUGUGUCUCCCAAACCUCAUGUUGAAAUUCGAUCCUCAGUGUUAGAGGUGGGGCCUACUGGGAGGGGUUACAGUCACAGGGGUGGGUCCCUCCUGAAUUGACUAAUGCCCCUCAGGAGACAGGGGUAGAGGGGAGUGGGUGAGUUCUUGCUCAGUUAGUCCCCUGUAGAGCUGAUCGUUAAAAAGAGCCUGGCGUCUCCACUCACGUCCUCUCUUGCUUCCUCCUUCUCCGUGUGAUCUCUGCACAGGCAGCCUCGCUUUUUCCUUCCAACAUGAGUGGAAGCAGCCUGAGGCAUCACCAGAAGCAGAUGCUGAUGCCAUGCUUCUUGUACAGCCUGCAGAACAGUACAGCAUCAAAGACCAACACUUGGGAUGGAUUAUGCUGAGACCUGGCAGAAACAAUAAUCAGGGAGCUUGAGACUCUGGAACCGGAAACUGGACACAAUAUUCUGAAUAAUAGAGUUCCAUCACUGAAACAAACAAGAGUUUUUUUUUAGACCAGUGAGCCUCCAAUAAUUUGUGCUGGUUAAAAUACAAACUCCUAGGCCUUCUCCCAACCUACGAAUGCAGAAUUUCCUGGAGGUGGGAUGCAGAAGUCUGUAUUUUUUUUUUUAACAGCUUCACAAGUUAUUCUGAGGCUCUACUAGGUCUGAAAAACACAGUGACCACAUUGAUCAGAUCUCCCACAGAAGAUGCAUCUGAAAGAACCAUGAGACAAUCUCCUCUUUGUUCUGGACUUGCAACUCUUGUAAAUGCAGCCUGAGAUGGUGACACCCCUGCUCCCCAUUUGCCCUCUGCCAUCAGUAAAAGCUUCCUGAGACCUCACCAGAAGCUGGACAGAUGCUGGUGCCGUGCUUGUACAGCCUGCAGAACCAGGAGCCAAAUCAACCUCUUUUCUUUAUAAAUUGCCCAGCCUCAGGGGUUCCUUUACAGCAGUGCAAGAACAGACCAACACAGAAGUGUGUGGAGUGAAACCUAAAGCAGUGUUUCUAAAAGUGAGAUCCUAGGAACAGCACCACCUGUACCACAUGCAUCACCUGGGAAUCUGUUAGAAAAGCAAAGCCUCAGGCUCCAUCCCAGACCACCUCAGGCAGAAGCUCUGGGGGUGGGGUCCAGGAAUCUGGGAUUUAACAAGCUCUCCAGGUGAUGCUGAUGCAUGUUCAGUUUGAAAACAAUGGACCCAGAGAGCCUCUAAAGUGCAACCUGCACUGACAAUUUUAGUCCAAAAUCUUGCAUGGGCAAUUUAAUCUCUAUGUCCUACGGAUUCAGUAAAGUCCCUUUCUGGCAAUCAGAAAGCUCAGUCUCUCUGGAGGCUCUGAUGUGGUUUCAUUUUGAGCCUAAGAUCAAUUGAGAGACCUUACUCUCCAUCAAGACUGACUGGGAGACUCACGUAUGCUGUCCUCAAGCCAAAAGUCAGGAUAGAACUGCUUUCCACUAUUGAUUACAAAAGAAUCAGCCUUCCAGAAGAAAAAUCUACUCUCUUCAUGGAACCUCCUCAUGGCAGAAGCUGCUUGGACACUAUUUUCUCCUGUAGCAGGUAAAAAAUAUGUGCAGGCUUUUCUGGCUUGGAUCGUACAGUCUCUUUAAAGCUAACAGGCUCUGAUUAUUAAAAGAAAAUUGGGAGAUCAUCUAGUCGAAUCCUAUUUUACCAAUUAAGACACGGAGAGGAUGGGAGCUAGUUAAUAAUUUUUCCAUAGUAACAGAGAUAGUAACGCAGUAGGUUUGUAAGAAAACUGAACUCAGACCUUCAGGCUUAUUUCACUGAGCCAUGCUACUUUCGGUGUUCUCAGCAAAGCACGGGAAGUAACAAGUCUUUUAAACCCUAAGACACUGCAACCUUCAUGUGGCUUUUGGUGCCAUCCAUGCACAUUCAGAGAAUUCAGAGUCUACAGAAACAGUGUGGAUUUGGAUUCCUAUUGGCACAAGGAGGCAACUAAGAGGAACAGGGGAGAAGAUGGUUUUUCCAGGAAAAGUUAAUGCUACACAAAUAGCAGAUCUUGCUGUAAAGGUUCUGUCAUGAGCCAGGAGCUUUUUUCCUUCAAAAUAACCCUGUAAGGUGGGCAUAAUUAUCCCAGUUUUACCAGUGAGGAAAUGAUGCACAAAGAGACUGUGCACCCUGAUCGAGCCCAGUGAACAAAGACAGGAUAAAAACACCUAGCUCUGAUUCUCAUGCUUUUCCUGUGACACCACACUGCUUCCUAGUGAGUUGCUUUGAAACCCGCGAUUGAUCUAUUUUAGUCUCUAAAUCAGUGACUCUUAACCUUGACUGCAGGUUAAAAUUGUACAGAUCUUUAAAAAAAAUACUAAUAGCUGCUGCCCUCCCUUCCAUCCCUAUUAAAACAGAACCUCUGGGAGUGGAGCCAGGAUAGUGGCAUUUUUUUUAAAGCUCCCCAGGUAACGUGAAUGUGCAAACAGAGGUGCAAGCCACUUUUACAUGUUCAAUUUGCCUCAAAGUAAUUUAGCUAACCAGGAAUAGAUACUGUUUUUGAAGAUAGUGGUGGUAAUUUAAUGAAGUUACUCAAACUAUGAUUGAAUUAUAUUUAGACACUAGGUAAGAGGGGAAAUGGGGAGGAGAAGGAAGAGUUGACUUUUGUUAACUGGUUUAUUGGGGAACAUGCAUGCAAUAUUUGCUGAUUAUCUGCAAUACAGCUUAUCUGAGGACCAAGCCCCCUGCCUCCACUCGACCCCCAGGAUUCCCUGGGGCACAGUGUUAUUUUGAUGUUGGAGAACUUAUGUAUGUUUAAAAGUAAUUAAAGAAAAUUGAAAGUUAA